UCAGAGAGGUUUAGUCAGAGAGGUUUAGUCAGAGAGGUUUAGUCAGAGAGGUUUAGUCAGAGAGGUCCGGUCAGAGAGGUUUAAUCAGAGAGGUUUAGUCAGAGAGGUCUGGUCAGAGAGGUUUAGUCAGAGAGGUCCGGUCAGAGAGGUUUAGUCAGAGAGGAUUAGUCAGAGAGGUUUAGUCAGAGUGGUUUAGUCAGAGAGGAUUAGUCAGAGAGGUCCGGUCAGAGAGGUUUAGUCAGAGAGGUUUAGUCAGAGAGUUUAGUCAGAGAGGUUUAGUCAGAGAGGUUUAGUCAGAGAGGUUUAGUCAGAGAGGUUUAGUCAGAGAGGUCUGGUCAGAGAGGUCUGGUCAGAGAGGUUUAGUCAGAGAGGUUUAGUCAGAGAGGUUUAGUCAGAGAGGUUUAGUCAGAGAGGUUUAGUCAGAGAGGUCUGGUCAGAGAGGUUUAGUCAGAGAGGUUUAGUCAGAGAGGGUUAGUCAGAGAGGGUUAGUCAGAGAGGUUUAGUCAGAGAGGUCUGGUCAGGACUGGUCUGAGAACAUUAUCCUAACUGUUAAGAGAGGUUCAGCCCUCUGGUCUCAGUAUUGGAGGACACAGGAACUAGGGUCCGAAAUAUCACCCUAUUUCCUAUAAAGUGCACUACUUUAGACCAGAGCCCUAUGGAGUAGGGCACUACUUUAGACCAGAGCCCUAUGGGGUAGUGCACUACUUUAGACCAGAGCCCUAUGGGGUAGGGCACUACUUUAGACCAGAGCCCUAUGGGGUAGGGCACUACUUUAGACCAGAGCCCUAUGGGGUAGGGCACUACUUUAGACCAGAGCCCUAUGGGGUAGGGCACUACUUUAGACCAGAGCCCUAUGGGAUAGGGCACUACUUUAGACCAGAGCCCUAUGGGGUAGGGCACUACUUUAGACCAGAGCCCUAUGGGGUAGGGCACUACUUUAGACCAGAGCCCUAUGGGGUAGGGCACUACUUUAGACCAGAGCCCUAUGGGGUAGGGCACUACUUUAGACCAGAGCCCUAUGGGGUAGUGCACUACUUUAGACCAGAGCCCUAUGGAGUAGUGCACUACGUAGUGAAGAAGGUGCCAUUUGGGAAACAGAAAAUAUCUUGCCUGGCCAGGAACAAGUCAUUCCUCCAUGGUAACGUUGUGGUUACGGAUCGGAGAACACAACAGUGAUGCAUCAUGGUCCGUUUCCUGUGUUCUAUUCAGGAGGACUUUGUUGUGGCGAAACAAAACCACAGAGACCAUUAACUUCCCAGCUACGCCUCACCCAGGUCACAUGACAGGGGCUUGGACUCUACAAAUCUUUCAUUGGGAGUAUUUUAACCUCUUGUGUUGUUUGGUGGUUUGGUAGUAUCGCUGUCAGACAGAGAAAUAUGUUGAGAAGGAUUAUAGCCACAGACAGCAAGGUACUAGGAGACAGACAGACAGGCUUGAUGAGAUCUUUAAGGGCCCUCAGCAAGGUACUAGGAGACAGACAGACAGGCUUGAUGAGAUCUUUAAGGGCCCUCACCAAGGUACUAGGAGACAGACAGACAGGCUUGAUGAGAUCUUUAAGGGCCCUCACCAAGGUACUAGGAGACAGACAGACAGGCUUGAUGAGAUCUUUAAGGGCCCUCAGCAA